rnacentral:rRNA from 1 species
CCUACGGGAUGCAGCAGUGAGGAAUAUUGGUCAAUGGCCGGAAGGCUGAACCAGCCAUGCCGCGUGAAGGUCAGUGCCCUAUGGGCGUUAAACUUCUUUUGUGCGGGAGCAAUAAUGGUCACGUGUGGCCAGACGAGAGUACCGUACAACUAAGCAUCGGCUAACUCCGUGCCAGCAGCCGCGGUAAUACGGGGGAUGCAAGCGUUAUCCGGAUUUAUUGGGUUUAAAGGGUGCGUAGGCUGUGAGGUAAGUCAGCGGUGAAAUGCCCCCGCUCAACGGGGUGAAGUGCCAUUGAUACUGCCUGGCUGGAAUGCGGAUGCCGUGGGAGGAAUGUGUGGUGUAGCGGUGAAAUGCAUAGAUAUCACACAGAACACCGAUUGCGAAGGCAUCUCACGAAUCCGCGAUUGACGCUGAUGCACGAAAGCGUGGGUAUCAAACAGGAUUAGAUACCCUAGUAGUC